AUGCCAUUCAGGGACACAUAGACUUAGAAUAACUUUAUUGUCACUUUGAAUGUUCCCUAAUCGGCUGUUCUGUCUCCCCCCACCGCAGUCCGGGAAGCACGGGAAAAUGACUCAAUUAGCCAGCAAUUGGGUCCACAGCAGCUAUCAGCUCUGGCAGCAACCCAGCGAGCAUUUGCCAAGGUUUUUCUGUUAUCUUUCUUGAUGCCGGCGUGUCAACCAGGAAAUCAGGAAUAAACAGCACUUCAGCUCAAGUUCUCUCUAGGACAGCCAGGACACUAAGGUGCACUAUCACAGAAGGGACUGGCCACCAUGGACUGAGUUUUCUCUGGAGAAGAACAACGUAAGGUGGAAGCAGCUGGUAGACCCUUGGAAGAUGCUGAUGCCACCACUACACAUCAAGUUAGGCCUCAUCAAACAAUUUGUCACAGCUCUAGACAGCUUUCGAAUACCUUCAAAAUCUCUUGCCAUAGCUAUCAGGCAAAGGGUUAAAGCUGAUAUCUUCAUCAGACCACAAAUAAAGAAGAUCAUAGAGUGUGAUGAAUUUGCCAGAAAACUGAACAGGAUGGAGAAAUUGCCUUGGAACAGUUUCAUUGGUUCUAGGCAAUCGAAAGGCUCAAAACUAUGAGCAGCCGGUUCAGACUCUCAUAAAGAACUAUGCCAAAAUGGGAUGCAGAAUGUCCCUCAAAGUCUUUAUCCUUGAUGCUCAUCUUGACAGAUUCAAGGAGAACAUGGGUGCUUCCUCAGAAGAGCAAGGAGGUCAAUCAUCUUCCAAUUAAGUCUGUCAAGGUUUCAACUGAUGAACCCAACUGAGCAAGCACAAUCAAGACGGUCCAAUUUCUUUAGGCAAAGCUUUAUUGAGUACAUCAUUUUGGCACAAUUAAGGCAAAACCAGCCUUGACUAUUUCCCACACAAUCCUGAAUAAUUAAAGUAUAGUAAUUUUCCUUCCCCAUCUUGAUGUAGGUCACAUUGUCCAAUUAAAUGCAGUAGAAUUGUUAUGAGAAAAUACUUCUGAGGAUCUUAACCACCUGCUGAAGUGUCCUUGAUUCCCACCCUUUGCUCGCCUUAUAUCUGGAAUCUACAUUUUAUUUCCCCCCUCCACUCCCCCUUAGUUUAUUGGCAAGCUGAGAGGUGAUAAUAGUUGCAACAGGGUAAGUGCACUUUGAAGCUUGACAAAGUCAUGCAUAGUUCUGUAGAAUGAGCAAUAAUAUGGAACAAGCCCUGUUGGCCAUAAGAGCAAUUCUGUCUUUUUUUAUGCUUCUUUCAUAAAUAAUUUAAAAAGUGUUUCCUCCUUGAUUUCUACGCCAAACUGCCUGCUAAACUGCUCUCCCUAUUCACUUGCUCAGUAAUCAGAUGAUUAGAAGACUAGAAGUAAAUGCUGAAAAUCAGACAGUCUUGGCUGCAUCAUAUUUGAAAUUAUUGAAAGUAGAUCAGCAGUCAUACAGUUGGAACUAGUGUGAUGUCUCCCUCAAUUGCUGGUUCAGACAAAGAGGAGCCAUCCAAGAAGAACUAUAGGGAGCAUCAGGGAAACAUGGAAGGAUCUGUGGCAGAGUCAAAACAAGGAACAAUGGAGAUGGGUGAUUGUGGUGGAGCAUUCCCAGGAAAAGUUGGUAGGAUGUGGGCGAGAGCAGCUGGAUGAACAGCUGGCUGUGCAUUUUGAAGAGGAGAGGCAGCUACAACCAGUCAGCACCGAUGAGUUGCCACCCCUUCCUGAUCCAAGGACCAGGUGAAGGGCCAGGUGAGAGAGGUGCAGUGGAGAUCAGUGAGGCUACUUGCAAGGAAAUACCCUUGCUUCUAACGAGGUGCACUGGCAGCGCCUAUUGAACUAGGUGUUUUGAAUUUACUCAAUUUCGAAGACAAGUACCCAUAAUCUGACUGGUUGUGAAUGUUCCUAAACCUUUGAUCCUUCAUCUUGUCUUGAGCCUGUCGCAGUCACAUUUGGCCUUUGUCUUGCUUUGAACUGGGAGUUCUACUUUGAACUUGGAGUCGUGCUUGCCUUCGUCUUGCAUUGAACUCAUUGGGAGAUUUACUUCGUUGCUAUUAGAGAUGUGUGUCCAGCUUUGGAUCUGCUGGAGCCAUACUUGCCUCUGCAUUGCCUUCAACUGGUGGGGAACUGUAGUUGCUCUCGUUAAGCUGGGACUUUGAAGACUUAAAUAGGACUGUUUGUAAGACUUUGCACAUAUAGAGAGGGCUAGAGGAAUGUCUGGUAAGUUUUGUGAAUAAACGCAUCUAAUUCCUUACCUUGUAUGUGUGGUUCUGGACUGAGACAGGACAAUAAGCUUAAAAAGAUUGCAGUAGUCAUAGAUAAAAAACAGCAUUCAGUGUAGAAUAAAUUAGAAUAAAUUAAGACUUCAGUUUUCCAAAUAUCAACUUCAUGCCUGUUUUCAAUAGAAGAU